rnacentral:lncRNA from 1 species
AAGGCUAAUACGGUGACCAUCACGGUGGUAUGCUGUAGCCCGGAGAAGAUCAGGGACAAGUUAUGUUACAAAGGUGGUGGAUCCAUCAAGAGCAUUGAGCUCAAGUCGCCGGCGAAACCCAAGGAAUCGGAGAAGAAACCCGACAAACCUAAAGAAGCCGAGAAGCCGAAAGAAGCUGAGAAGAAGCCGGAAAAACCCAAAGAAGCUGAGAAGAAGCCGGAAAAACCCAAAGAUCCUGAGAAGAAGCCGGAAAAACCCAAAGAUCCUGCUCCUGAGAAGAAGCCGGAAAAACCCAAAGAACCUGCUCCUGGGAAGAGACCGCCAAAGCCCAAAGACGGUGGUGAGACGAAACCGGAUAUACCUAGAGAGGUGGCGUCGCAGCAGAAUGUUGCGGCACCUUCUCCUUUACCGCCGAUGACGUAUGCAGUUGGGUAUACUUGCUCCGAGGGUUAUUAUAAUGGUUAUGGUGGAGGACCUAGCUAUUAUGGUGGACCACCCCAACAACCGUUCCCAUAUUACGAGACUUACGGUAGGCCUGUUUAUGACAGCUGGGGUGGCGGCGGCGGUGGCUACUACAGGUACGGCGGCCGUACCGGUGAAUGUUUUAGUGAAGAAAACCCUCAAGGUUGCUCGAUCAUGUAAAAAAACCGCGGGAAUUCGUUAUACUAUAAUGGUAAUAAUAAAUUCUCUUGUCUACUGGUGUAUGAAUCUGGGGGAGUCAUUUUGUGGAUUUUUAUUUAUUUCUAGUUUUAUUGAGUUUAUAAAAGUCGGUAAAGAUCAUUAACAAGGUUGGUGGCGUUGGUGGUGGCGGCGACAACGGCGGCGGUAGUGGUGGUGUGCUCCAGGCUUGCAAAAAGUUUGUUUACCAUAGUUUUAAAUUUUAAUAAAUAAAAAUGAUGUAUCUUUUUAUCUGUCAGAGUCUUUUGUUUUUAAUUAUAUGAAGGAAUUCAUUUGACAACAAAAUAAUCAUGGAAGGAACCUUCUCAAAUGUAAACUUAGAUUAUAAUAAUGUAGUAUGCUUAUUAAUUUUACAAUCACCAAGUCUAAAUGAAGUAUUUUUUAUUAUUUUAAUUUUCUAUUUUUGUCUUUUAAUGAGAAUUAAUAAUUUAAUUCUAUUGUUAAUUAUUGUCAUUAUAGGAAAAUGUAGAUUGGAGUGCCUAGAGUUUUAUUUAAGGGUUAAAAGAGGGAUUAUGAACCAAGAUCACCUUUGUUUUUACCCUUGUAAAGUUCAUGACUGCCUUCUUAACGAUUUCACCUCUAAAAUUUGAAAUGCAAAGAGUGUUAUAUUACACCUAACACUUAUCGAUAUUUUAAGUUAGCAUUUUAAUUUAUCAAGUAUUACUCAAUUAGAACUAACUUCAUUUUUCAAAAAUACAAGAGAGCAAGUUUUGAUAAUUAAAACACGACAAUGAACUUUUGAAUUUUUGUAAAGUAGAGGGAAAAUUUCGUAAUUAUACCUUAUCUUUAAGAAGCUUUGCAAAAUGUAUGAUAAUAAUAUAUAUAGAGACAUAGUGGUUCAAAAACAAAAAGCCAAAUCAAUUGGAUAAUAAUGGUACCAAAGCAUCCACGAGACAAUGUCACUAACGGUGGGCGCCUCCCUAUGGUUAUCCGGUCCCCAAACAGGCGGGCGAUGGCGUCAAAAUUACCAAUCUAGCGCUUAUCCUUAUAUAGAGUAGGCAACCUAGCUUAACCUAGACACUCUUAGUUUCCUCCCAUGGUUUCAAAUCUUAAUACACUCCAAACUUUAAUUAUUGAGAUAGAAAUCGAGUUUGAUUUGAAUUUUGAUUAAGUUGAUUUAAUUUUUUUUAAUUGAAUAAUAAUAAAUUUUGAUUUUUAUAUAUAUUGUUAUAAUGCAAUUGAGAAUUGUUUAGUACGAUAAUUUACACUAUAAGAAUGCGAAGAGCUACUGAAAUGGUUGCGAUUUAUAUUGUGAAAGUGUGAAAAGUCAUUGUUCUUGGUGAUUGGAGGAUGUCGAGUUAGUAUAUGUAAAGGAGAGAAUUUUGCUUAAUUUAAGAAUAUUUUUCAAAAGUGCUUUUAAGGAAAAAAAAAUACUUAUGAGAAGAAGUUAAAAUUUACAAUUUAAAAAAAAAAAAGAUUUUUUGGGUCAAUUUUUUAUUUGGAAUAAGCAUUUUUUUUUCUCAAAAAAUUAAGAAUACUUUUGUCCCAAAUUUUUUUUUUAAAAGCAAUACAAAAAUGACCUUAAAUUGGCACAGUAUAUUUAAUCAAUUUUGGUUUGAGCAGGUUCAGCAAUUUUUUUUUAUUAUAUGUUUGAUUUUGUUGGUGUAAAAUAAAUCUUAAUUAUUUGUGUUUCGGUUCUUUUAAAAUGAUAUAAAAGUUUUAUUAUUUAAAAAUAUUUAAUUUAGUGAAAUUUAAUUGAGUAUUGAUAUAAAUAAAUGAUAUUAAAAUAUAUACCAAAUAUUUACAAAUCAAACUGAAAGUUUUGAAAAUAUUUUAUUUCAUAUUUAGAAUUUAAUAAAAUAUUCACCACUGAAGUACCCAAGUUUAAUAUUUAUUUAAAGGGAGUAAUUAAUAUUGAAUUUAUUUAAAUGGAAAAUUGGUGAUAUACUUCAAGACUGGUUUCUAAAUAUAUAUUAUAAAUUUUGAUUUUGAUUCCAUGAUUUUGAUGAAAAAUAUGCAUUAAGUUUGAUAUAUUAAUAUUAAUGGCAAAAAAAUCAUAUUUAAAACAUAAUUUAGAAAACGAGAUUUACUUAGGAAAAUACUUAAAAUUUUUAUAUAUGCUUUGAUGACGGAUUUUUAGUAAAACUUUCUAAAAUUUAAUAUUAUUUUAAAUAAGAAUUAAUUAUAAACAUUUUAAAUAAAUAAGCUUAAAUUCACUUUAAGGUAAGCUUUUAAUUUAUAUAUAUAAGGGAUGGUUUGGUAAUACUUUUGAAAAGUGAUUUUCAAAAGUAUUGUAAAAAAAUAUUUUCGGAAAGUUUAGUUUAAAAUUUGAGUGUUUAACAUUGCUAUCAAAAAAUAUUUUUGAGAAAUAAAAUGUCUAUUUUAGACAUGUUAUUAUUAAAGAAUAAAUAUGUAUUUAAAUAAUAUUUAAAUUAGUUAAUAUUAUUAUAUUUUAGUAAGAAUAUAAAAAAAUUAUUAUAAUUUGUUAAUUUUUUAAUAUAUGAAAUAUAAAUUUUAAAUAUUUUUAAAUAAUAAAUAUUAAUUAUUUAUAAAAUUUAAAGAGAAUAUAUAAACUAUAUUUUAAAUAUUUAAAUAUAAUCAUUAAAUAUUUAUAAUUAAUAUUUUAAAAAAUAUUUUUUAAUUAAUAAUUUUAAUAAAUUUGUACUAAAAGAAAAAUACUAUGUUAUUAUAGUGGUGAAAAAUUAGUAAGUAAAAGUCUUUUCGGAUAGUAAAAAGUUAAAAAUUUUAACUUUUACUUUUUAGAAAAGCCAAAUAUUAUUAAGCAUUUCAGAACAGUAGCUAAGCCUAAGUAUCAGCCUUUCGCUAUCUCAGUACUAUUUUCUAACACUUUUGCAUUUGCUUCUUUCUUUUUCACACCAGAUCUGGGGAUCCAAGCUAUGGCUGAAAAGGUUCCUAAAAUCUCAUCCUUUUUCUCUUCAACAUUUAAAUCCGAUGCCCAUUUCUUUUUCUUUUUUUAAUUUCUUUUAUUGUUUUUCAUGCUCCUCUGUUUCCAAUUCCUCUUUGUCUCUGUUAACCAGAUUCGUUAGCUAAUGCUAAUAAUUCAUGUAAAGUUUUUCUUUUGUAGGUGACGAUAAUGGUGCUGAAGGUCGACCUUCAGUGCAGGAAAUGUUACAAGAAGGUCAAGAAAGUGCUCUGUAAAUUCCCUCGUGAGUUUUCUAUUUUUGACUUUUUUUUUCAUGGAUUUCUGCAUAUUAUUUGUAACAUUUUUAAUUAUUUGUUCAUUGAGUUUAACGUUGAGAAAUGGUGUCUGAGUUUAUUUUUCUUUUUUCUUUUUUUGUGAACAAGAGAAAUACGAGACCAGAUAUACGAUGAAAAGACUAAUACGGUGACCAUCAAGGUGGUAUGCUGUAGCCCGGAGAAGAUCAGGGACAAGUUAUGUUACAAAGGUGGUGGAUCCAUCAAGAGCAUUGAGCUCAAGUCGCCGGCGAAGCCCAAGGAACCGGAGAAGAAACCCGACAAACCUAAAGAAGCCGAGAAGUCGAAAGAAGCUGGGAAGAAACCGCCAAAGCCCAAAGACGGUGGUGAGACGAAACCGGAUAUACCUAGAGAGGUGGCGUCGCAGCAGAAGGUUGCGGCACCUGCUCCUUUACCGCCGAUGACGUAUGCAGUUGGGUAUAAUUGCUCCGAGGGUUAUUAUAAUGGCUAUGGUGGAGGACCUACCUAUUAUGGUGGACCACCCCAACAACCGUUCCCAUGUUACGAGACUUACGGUAGGCCUGUUUAUGACAGCUGGGGCGGCGGCGGCGGAUACUACCGGUACGGCGGCCGUACCGGUGAUUGUGUUAGUGAAGAAAACCCACAAGGUUGCUCGAUC